UACGUAGGGCGCAAGCGUUAUCCGGAAUUAUUGGGCGUAAAGAGCUCGUAGGCGGUUUGUCGCGUCUGCCGUGAAAGUCCGGGGCUCAACUCCGGAUCUGCGGUGGGUACGGGGCAGACUAGAGUGAUGUAGGGGGAGACUGGAAUUCCUGGUGUAGCGGUGAAAUGCGCAGAUAUCAGGAGGAACACCGAUGGCGAAGGCAGGUCUCUGGGCAUUAACUGACGCUGAGACGCGAAAGCGUGGGGAGCAAACAGG
rnacentral:rRNA from 1 species